GACCACGUAGCUCAGUUGGCAGAGUAUUGGUUUGUAACCCAAAGGUCGCGGGUUCGAUUCCCACCGUGGCCA